GCCGCCGUAGCUCAGUCGGUUAGAGCAGCUGACUUUUAAUCAGACGGUCGUGAGUUCGAAUCUCACCGGCGGCA
rnacentral:tRNA from 1 species